GGGCAGCCGCAGGCAGAGCUCAGGACCCUCCCACCAUGGCCUGGCUACCCUUCUACCUCCUGCCCCUCAUCAUCUCCACAGGUCUCUGUGCUGCUCCUGUGCUCACCCAGCCCCCGUCUGCCUCUGCCACCCUGGGAGGCACCGUCAAGCUCACCUGCACCCUGAGCCAGGAGCACAUCAGCUUCUUUAUUUUCUGGUAUCAGCAGAGACCAGGACAGGCCCCUCGGAAUUUGAUGCAGGUUAAUAGCGACGGAAGCCACACCAAGGGGGACGGGAUCCCCAAUCGCUUCUCGGGCUCCAGCUCCGGGGCUGACCGCUACUUAACCAUCUCCAACCUCCAGUCUGAGGACGAGGGAGAGUAUUACUGUGGAGUGGGCUAUAACACUGGUGGCAAAUUCAUGGGGUUCCACAGUGACACAGACAAAGGGGAAGUGGGGCUGAAACCUCCCUCCCUCUGUCUGCUCCUCCCGGGGACUCGGGGGACCUGCUGCCUGUCCCCCUCCUGGGUGCUGAGAUGCUGA